CGGGGCGGCGGGCAGGACGCGGGCCCGCCGGUCCCUGCCCGGCGGGACGCGCACGGUACGGGCCGUGCUGCCGUUCAUCAUCUGCUCUCCUUGC
rnacentral:tRNA from 1 species